CCUACGGGGUGCUGCAGUGGGGAAUAUUGGACAAUGGGCGAAAGCCUGAUCCAGCCAUGCCGCGUGUGUGAAGAAGGCCUUCGGGUUGUAAAGCACUUUCAGUGGGGAAGAAAGCCUUGGGGCUAAUACCCUCGAGGAAGGACAUCACCCACAGAAGAAGCACCGGCUAACUCCGUGCCAGCAGCCGCGGUAAUACGGAGGGUGCGAGCGUUAAUCGGAAUUACUGGGCGUAAAGCGCGCGUAGGGGGUCUGAUAAGCCGGUUGUGAAAGCCCCGGGCUCAACCUGGGAACGGCAUCCGGAACUGUCAGGCUAGAGUGCAGGAGAGGAAGGUAGAAUUCCCGGUGUAGCGGUGAAAUGCGUAGAGAUCGGGAGGAAUACCAGUGGCGAAGGCGGCCUUCUGGACUGACACUGACGCUGAGGUGCGAAAGCGUGGGUAGCAAACAGGAUUAGAUACCCAGUAGUC
rnacentral:rRNA from 1 species